GCACCCGUCGCUCCGGCGACGGGGAGGUUUUAAAAGAACACUUGUGUCGCCCGUGCUCGAACCACUUUGAAUCACUUCUAUCACGUUGUGACUGAAUCCAAAAACGUUGUCCUCUGCAACGAGGAUUUGAAAUGACAGAAAACAACCCUGAACGGUGGAUCACUCGGCUCGUGGGUCGAUGAAGAACGCAGCAAAUUG
rnacentral:rRNA from 1 species